UGCAUCGAUGAAGAACGCAGCGAAAUGCGAUACGUAAUGUGAAUUGCAAAUUCAGUGAAUCAUCGAGUCUUUGAACGCACAUUGCGCCCCCUGGUAUUCCGGGGGGCAUGCCUGUCCGAGCGUCAUUGCUGCCCUCAAGCCCGGCUUGUGUGUUGGGCCCCGUCCCCCGAUCUCCGGGGGACGGGCCCGAAAGGCAGCGGCGGCACCGCGUCCGGUCCUCGAGCGUAUGGGGCUUUGUCACCCGCUCUGUAGGCCCGGCCGGCGCUUGCCGAUCAACCCAAAUUUUUAUCCAGGUUGACCUCGGAUCAGGUAGGGAUACCCGCUGAACUUAAGCAUAUCAAUA
rnacentral:rRNA from 1 species